UUUAGUUCUGUUAAGGGGAAUCAGUGCUAGAUCUGGGAAGAAAAACUUCAGCACAGUGCCUAGAUACUGCAAUGGAGUAAGUCACGUCUAAAUUGUGGUGAGGCCUUUGUGACUCAGGUCUGUGGCGAGAAAUGGAAUGAUGAUGUGUGUUAUGUGUCAGUAUGUAUACGUGCAAGGUCCUGGGUGUGGGAAAAGAUAUCACUUACUUCAGCCUGUCCAACCACCCUGACUGGCUGGAUAUCCCAGGUGAGCUGACUUCCUCAGCCUCAGCCCUUAUCUUCCUCUGCUCUGGUCAAAUUCACCCUUCCCAGACUUUUAGAGAUCCCAGACUUAUGCCUUCUCCUGCUUCUUAUUCUGUGGAUAUCCAUUUUGUAGCUCUCUCUGACACUCUCCACCUCACACUUCUUCCCAUACUUAAUGCCACGCCCCCUGAAACUGUAGGCUGGUCCUUCCACGGCUCUCCAGGGCAUGGUCUGGACCUCAGUCUGCCUCCCUAUAGAGCAUGGCCCAGUGCUGAACAUACAACAGACAACCAAAAGGACUCUAUACCUGACUUGGAUCUGACAAUCCCUGGUUGUGGCCUGAUGGAAGGCUUUGGGGGCACAGGAGGAUGCCCUCUUGGGGGCCCCCUGCCACCUCUUCGCCCUCGAAUUUCAGGAAGCUUGAGGAGAGCUCUGGGCACCUCCACCCAACCUCACCGUGAGCAGCUGGGCCCUGGCUUCUUUACUGCCAUGGCCUCCACCCGGGCCUCGUAGAUCUGGUUGAUGACAACAUUCCCCAGCUCGCACAUAAGCUUCAGGAGGCCCAAUGAGGUGGGGAGAAAGAGGAUGUCCUUGAAGUCUUGACUCAAAAUCUACUUUCUCAUCAAGGCAAGAUGGUGCAUACCUGUAAUACCAGCACUUGGGAGGUGGAGGCAGAAAGAUAUGCAGUUCAAGGUCAUCCUUGGCUACAUAGUAUGUUUGAAAUCAGCCUGGGAUAAAUGAGACACUGUCACACAAAAAAGGACUGGGCCCCAAGAGAAAGUAACAAUUUCGUUGUUUGUUUUCAGACAGAACUCCUGACCUAUUUAGAAUUAUAAGCCCUAGGCUGUUGAUGUAGCUCAGUGGACGAUCACUUGCCUAGCAUUGUUGAGGCCUUGAAUUCAAUCCCCAGCUUGGCAAAAAAUAAAAAUGAAAUUGUACCCUCUAUGCAAAUCACCAUGUCCCUUGCUGUGUUUUUUUCUUCCAUAACAUUAUUACCCUCUUCUUUCUUUUUCCUUUCCUUUUUUUUUCUUUUUCUCUUCUUUUUUUGUGGGGUGGGGGGGCAGGAUUUUGCUUUGGAGCUCUAGUUGACCUGGUAUGUCAAACUCAAAGUCUUCCUGCCUCGGCCUCCUUAGUGGUGGGAUUACAGGUGUGUCACCACGCCUGGCUCUCAGCAUGGUCACUUUCUAACCUAGCAUAUAGGUAUUGUGUUUGUCUAUCUUUGCUGACUGAAUGCACGGACUACAAAGCAGAGACUCCUGUGUAUUUCCUUGACUCAAUGACCACCAAUUCAAGAAUAUUCAAUUGAGUGGGUUUGGCUGAUUGGAUUAU